GAGAUGGAAGACAGGAAAGACAGAAACUAAUAAGGAGAAAAGAAGGCAGAGAAAUCCACAUAAUCAGACAUGUGAAAUGAAGACAUUUCAAGUAAGACUGAAACAGUUUUUAAAAUGAAGUUUGUUUGAUUUCUUCUUUUUUCCCCUUCAGAAAAUUUAAAAGAGAAUAUUCAUUUUUCAGGAAAAUGUCAGCCAAAGUUUUAAAUCAAUUUUAGUGCUCAUUUAU
rnacentral:lncRNA from 1 species